rnacentral:snoRNA from 1 species
UCGACCGUACUUUACAGGAUCAUGUAUAUAGUACGUUUCCCGUCUUUGUUUUCCAAACAAGACACAUUUACUAAGUUGGAAGAUGAUAUAAAGCACCAGUUCAUAGCGGGAAGUGGUGAUUUUCAUUGUUAUUUUAAACAAUGAAUUUCACUUUGAAGAUCGUGCCUAUCAAAUUUUUCCAUUGAUACGGCAAGGACUUGGUUGCCUUCUGACAACU